rnacentral:misc_RNA from 1 species
GCCUUUACACAGCACUUGUUCGCUAGGGUUUCGGUGCAGAUUUUUGAUUUUCGCUUCAUCUGAAUCGUUUUCUGCAAACUUGCGAAGCUAUGUACGGAUCAAGGGGGUAAGUUUAUCUUACUUGAUUCAUUCUUCUCCUAUCUGUUCAUGUGGGUGUUCUUUCUUUUUCUAUGUCGAUGUUUGUUUUCAAAUUUUGUUUGUAGCAGUUGACGAAUUUAUAUGAUGCUUUCUGUUUGUGCCUUGUAGUAAUUAAUUAUUGAUUCUUUUUCUAGGUUGAUUUUGCCUUUAGAUUGUAAAAUUAACACUUUCUUUUGCUAUAUAUGGGAGGGUGAAUUCGAUAGCAUGGGGUUUCUGAGCUGCUCUAGCAUGCUUGUUACUUCAAGAUUAUCCUUUGAUUGUUUCAACACCAUAACUGAAGGAUAAAUUACAGUUACAUGUAUCUAUAACAAUUAUCCUAUAUAUUAACGGUUCAUUAUAACCCCCAAGUUUUUUUUUCUUUUGGUGUUUUAUGAUCUUUAUAACAACAUUAUGAUAUAGCAUCCAAGUAAUAUCCGUUAUAGAGAAGUUUGCCUCUACACCUUUU